rnacentral:misc_RNA from 1 species
GAUGAAGAACGUAGCGAAAUGCGAUACGUAAUGUGAAUUGCAGAAUUCAGUGAAUCAUCGAAUCUUUGAACGCAUAUUGCGCUCUCUGGUAUUCCGGAGAGCAUGCUUGUUUGAGUAUCAGUAAACACCUCAACUCCCUUUUCUUUUUUGAAAUGGGAGCUGGACUUGAGUGAUCCCAACACUUUUCUCACUGGAAAGUGGCGGGUCACUUGAAAUGCAGGUGCAGCUGGACUUUUCUCUGAGCUAUAAGCAUAUCUAUUUAGUCUGCCUAAAAAACAGAUUAUUACCUUUGCUGCAGCUAACAUAAAGGAGAUGAGUUCUUGUGCUGACUGAUGCAGGAUUCACAGAGACAGCUUUGCGGCUGACUCUGUAAACUCGAUCUCAAAUCAAGUAAGACUACCCGCUGAACUUAAGCAUAUCAAUAAGCGGAGGA